rnacentral:rRNA from 1 species
UAGGGAAUCUUCCGCAAUGGGCGAAAGCCUGACGGAGCAACGCCGCGGGAGUGAAGAAGGUCUUCGGAUCGUAAAACUCUGUUAUUAGGGAAGAACAAAUGUGUAAGUAACUAUGCACGUCUUGACGGUACCUAAUCAGAAAGCCACGGCUAACUACGUGCCAGCAGCCGCGGUAAUACGCAGGUGGCAAGCGUUAUCCGGAAUUAUUGGGCGUAAAGCGCGCGUAGGCGGUUUUUUAAGUCUGAUGUGAAAGCCCACGGCUCAACCGUGGAGGGUCAUUGGAAACUGGAAAACUUGAGUGCAGGAGAGGAAAGUGGAAUUCCAUGUGUAGCGGUGAAAUGCGCAGAGAUAUGGAGGAACACCAGUGGCGAAGGCGACUUUCUGGUCUGUAACUGACGCUGAUGUGCGAAAGCGUGGGGAUCAAACAGG